rnacentral:rRNA from 1 species
GAGUGAAGCGGGAAGAGCUCAGGUUGUAAAUCCGGCCCUUUUGGGCCCGAAUUGUAGUCUGGAGAGGCGACGCCAGCCGCUGUCCGCGGCCAAGUCUGAUUGGAAAUGAGCAUCAAGGAGGGUGAUAAUCCCGUUCGGGCCGCGGUAUCAAUCAGCGCGCGGAAGGCGCGCUUUCGACGAGUCGAGUUGCUUGGGAUUGCAGCUCAAAGUGGGUGGUAAACUCCAUCCAAAGCUAAACACGGGGGGGAGACCGAUAGCGAACAAGUACCGUGAGGGAAAGAUGCAAAGAACUUUGAAAAGAGAGUUAAAGAGUGCCUGAAAUUGCUGAAAGGGAAGCGAAGGAAAGCAGUGUCGUCGGUAGCGCUUCUCCGUGGCCCCCUUGGGGGCUCGGCUUGCGCUCCGGCGUGGCCAGGGACGGGUGGAUCUCUCUCGCGGGAUGCUGCGCGCCCGGAAGGUAGCUCUCUUCGGAGUGUGAAUACCGGCGCGUUUUGUCG